rnacentral:lncRNA from 1 species
UGGUGAGAGACCUCAACGGAAGAGAAGCAUGUGUGCGGCUGUAAGCUGACGAAGACAUCAAUGAUAGACGAUACAGAGAUUGUGUGUGGUGUGAACGGCUCUCAAAGUGCAGGAGCGAGCGAUGAUGGAUACUUUAAUGCUUGACUGCUUGUGGUGACGUGAAAAACGAACGCCGGAGCAGUUGCGAAGAGAGAAGANNCUAAUGAGGGAGAAGAAGAGCGAUGUUUCUGGCGGCCAAAAACAAGAUUGAUCACUGGGAGAAAGAGGGGUUGUAGAGAAGAAUAUUCAUCGUGAGGAGAGUGUGAAGCAAGAGAGACACGCUCUAGGUUUCAAUCCAGUUUUUUUC